UACGGUAGGGGCUAGCGUUAUCCGGAUUUACUGGGUGUAAAGGGAGCGCAGACGGAACUGCAAGUCUGAUGUGAAAGCCCGGGGCUCAACCGCGGGACUGCAUUGGAAACUGUAGAUCUGGAGUGCCGGAGGGGCAAGCGGAAUUCCUGGUGUAGCGGUGAAAUGCGUAGAUAUCAGGAGGAACACCGGCGGCGAAGGCGGCUUGCUGGACGGCAACUGACGUUGAGGCUCGAAAGCGUGGGGAGCAAACAGGAUUAGAUACCCGCGUAGU
rnacentral:rRNA from 1 species